ACCUUGCCUGGGGUCCAUGGGAGCUCAAAAUGCCACUCAUUUCCUCCACAGGACCAGAUGCCUGAGCUAGGAGAGGCCUCAUUCCUGCUGUGAUCCUACCAUGGAUACUUGGCUCCUAUGUUGGGCAAUUUUUAGUCUCUCGAAAGCAGGACACACAGAACCUGAAGUCACCCAGACUCCCAGCCAUCAGGUCACACAGAUGGGACAGGAAGUGAUCUUGCAGUGUGUCCCCAUCCCUAAUCACUUAAACUUCUAUUGGUACAGACAAAUCUUGGGGCAGAAAGUCGAGUUUCUGGUUUCCUUCUAUAAUGGUAAGAUCUCAGAGCAGUCUGAAAUAUUUGAUGAUCGACUCUCAGUUGGAAGGUCUGAUGGAGUACAUUUCACGCUGAAGAUCAAGUCCACAAAGCUGGAGGACUCAGCCAUGUACUUCUGUGCCAGCAAUGAAGCCACAGCCUUGCAAAGACACCUCCAGCCUGUUCAAAAACCCUCAUAGAUCUGCCUCCCUCCCAGCCGCCAGCACCCACUUCCUGUCUAAGAAAAGAAAGUCUCUGGUUGGGUUUGUUCUUGCUGCCGUCUCCAAAUAAACAGAUAUCCGAAAUUGAAUUAACAAAGAUAUGUUGGACAGGAAUGGCCAGAUGCUGUAGGAUUUGAAGAAUGUUUACAGAUACUACAGAGUGUGAUGGUGGGCUCUGAAUAUGGGAGAAUUGUACACGACCAAGUAACCUGUAUGUUCUCCCUAUUCCCAUUUUGCAUCUUCAUUAGAAUUUUUUUGUUUUAGUUUUUUAGGAAAACAUAUUUUAACUCCCAGGAUAGCGAGAUGAUUAUGGAGUGGGAGUUCAGGUAUUCCCAUGAGAAUACAGAGGAUUGCCACAGAAAUCUUCAGAAGGAGAAGGGGCUUGGUACAAGGAACUCAAUAUCAAUCGGUCUUGUUCAGAAUGUGGUCAAGAGCAGAACUAUCUGAUGACCCUGUCACCCCGGUGUGCUACAUUUGGGCUAAUGAUGCUAGCUCACAAAAUAACAAGUUAAGAGAGUAGAAAACAUGGAGUCUAAUAUUAGGAUACCAUUUUACACCAUUUCAAGGUCAGCAGAGGUCUAGACCAGCAUGAGAAUCGCCAGAAUAAAGCCAGGCAGUGCAGGAACAGAAUUCAGCAGCAAAAGUUAAGAGGCAUCUAGAGGCAGAGGUAGGAAUGAAUUUGUCACUUUCAACUUAACAUGAGGCAGCCAGAUUAACUUUUUGAGUUUCAUUUAAGAAACUAUUGCUCUUUUAAACAUAUCUACUGAAUUCUAAAUUUUAGGUAU